GACGAACGCUGGCGGCGCGCUUAACACAUGCAAGUCGAACGGAAAGGCCUGCUUUCCCUUGUGGAUUGCGGGUACUCGAGUGGCGAACGGGUGAGUAACACGUGAGUGAUCUGCCCCCAACUUGGGUAUAAGCCUGGGAAACUGGGUCUAAUUCCCGAUAGGACUGCAGGGUGGUGCCUGUGGUGGAAAACGAUUUUCUAGUGGUUGGGGAUGAGCUCGCGGCCUAUCAGCUUGUUGGUGGGGUAAUGGCCUACCAAGGCGGCGACGGGUAGCCGGCCUGAGAGGGUGGACGGCCACAUUGGGACUGAGAUACGGCCCAGACGCCUACGGGAGGCAGCAGUGGGGAAUAUUGCACAAUGGGCGGAAGCCUGAUGCAGCGACGCCGCGUGGGGGAUGACGGCCUUCGGGUUGUAAACUCCUUUCGACCGCGAGGAAGCCACCUGGUUGGAAGGGUGGUGACGGUAGUGGUAGAAGAAGCACCGGCUAACUACGU
rnacentral:rRNA from 1 species